GAAAAAGCAAGAUAAACUAAAAAAGAAGGCAGGCGAAAAACCGACGCUGUGAAGCAAAGAACAAUAAGAUAUCAAGGUUUUUACUUUGACUUUCAUUGAAGACGACAACUAUGACGCUGUUAGCGGCGGCAAUAUUCGUGCAACUAUUAGCGUCAGCAGCGUUGCUUGCUUCAAAGUCAACACUAACACUGGCACAAAAACCCGACGAAGAUCUGAAAUGCUCGAUGCAUGAAGCAGAAAGAAGCAAUGAAAAUUGCAAACGAAACAGAAAUUAAAACAAAGUAAAGUAACUACAAAAUGGAAUUUUCAACACAAAGCAAAGCCAGUAGAGAGCUGACAGGGUGAUGAGGUGCAGAAAAAUUGGUAGGUGGCGCAAAAUGGAAAAUUUCCAAAGCAAAAGGAAGACAGCAAGUUGUUUUAGUACUGAAGACAGCAGCGUACAGACAAAACGAAAAUUGCGUAAAUCUCAGCAUGGAGCUCGACGACGAUGACGACGACGACGACUAGAAGCCACUCUAAUGGAUAUCCAGACGUGGCCGCAGACAUUGGCGGUAUUUCCCGCCAAAAGUGUAAAUAUGUAUCAACGGACGCUGGAGUCGGGAGUAAAAUAUGUAUAAACAUAUUAUAUAAAGCCACCAGCGCCAACCCACCCAUUCGGCAGGCGACCAACCAGCGUUCA